ACCGUUUUCNCCCUUAAACCGGGGAAGAAAAGCACCCUGUGACCUUCGGGCCUUGCGCUAUUCAGAUGAGCCUAGGUCGGAUUAGCUAGUUUGGUGAGGUAAUGGCUCACCAAGGCUACGAUCCGUAACUGGUCUGAGAGGAUGAUCAGUCACACUGGAACUGAGACACGGUCCAGACUCCUACGGGAGGCAGCAGUGGGGAAUAUUGGACAAUGGGCGAAAGCCUGAUCCAGCCAUGCCGCGUGUGUGAAGAAGGUCUUCGGAUUGUAAAGCACUUUAAGUUGGGAGGAAGGGCAUUAACCUAAUACGUUAGUGUUUUGACGUUACCGACAGAAUAAGCACCGGCUAACUCUGUGCCAGCAGCCGCGGUAAUACAGAGGGUGCAAGCGUUAAUCGGAAUUACUGGGCGUAAAGCGCGCGUAGGUGGUUUGUUAAGUUGAAUGUGAAAUCCCCGGGCUCAACCUGGGAACUGCAUCCAAAACUGGCAAGCUUAGAGUAUGGUAGAGGGUAGUGGAAAUUUUCCUGUGUAAGCGGUGAAAAUGCGUAGAUAUAGGAAAGGAACACCCAGUGGCGAAGGCGACUACCUGGACUGAUACUUGACACUGANGUGCGAAAGCUGUUGGGGAGCAAACAGGAUUAGAUUACCCUGGUAGUCCACGCCCGUAAAACGAAUGUCAACUAGCCGUUGGGGAGUCUUUUGAACUUCCUUUAGGGGCCGCAGGCUUAACCGCAAUUAAGAUGGAACCGGUCAUGGGGGAAGUACGGGCCGGCAAUGGUUUAAAAACUCCAAAUUGAAAUUUGGACGGGGGGCCCGCACAAGCGGUGGGAGCAUGUGGUUUAAUUCGAAGCAACGCGAAGAACCUUACCAGGCCUUGACAUCCAAUGAACUUUCUAGAGAUAGAUUGGUGCCUUCGGGAACAUUGAGACAGGUGCUGCAUGGCUGUCGUCAGCUCGUGUCGUGAGAUGUUGGGUUAAGUCCCGUAACGAGCGCAACCCUUGUCCUUAGUUACCAGCACGUAAUGGUGGGCACUCUAAGGAGACUGCCGGUGACAAACCGGAGGAAGGUGGGGAUGACGUCAAGUCAUCAUGGCCCUUACGGCCUGGGCUACACACGUGCUACAAUGGUCGGUACAAAGGGUUGCCAAGCCGCGAGGUGGAGCUAAUCCCAUAAAACCGAUCGUAGUCCGGAUCGCAGUCUGCAACUCGACUGCGUGAAGUCGGAAUCGCUAGUAAUCGUGAAUCAGAAUGUCA
rnacentral:rRNA from 1 species